CCCUCGUCCUGUUUGAGAUUAACAUAUGUGCAUUGGCUUAAUUCAUUGAUAGCCACCUGAACUGCUGCGGGUGUGGUACACGCUUUAAAAAUGGGGAUCCUGACCAACCAAAUGCUCCUGUGUUGAGACAGCCACAAAGGCACGUCCUCUUGUCAGUCGGGCAAGCGAUGCCACUCCACGCUCCUCUUCCUGCCAGAGGACAGAAGAAUGGCCAGUACCUCCUGAUUGAGACGCGACCAAGCUCUCGGGUGAGGAAGGCUGGCCCUGUACAUCCGGACUGGGACGGCACCACCGGGAUCCCCCAUUAAGCCUGCACCCGUAGCAUCAGGAACUUGUAUUCGGAACACAGCUGCGAAGGUCACAGUAAUUGAUGUUCGAACAGCAACAAGAGAAGAUUCUCCUGAGUGAAAAACAGAGUGAAAAAGAAAAAGUGAAAACUCACCAGAAAGGUGGAAAUUCACUGUGCACAAAGCCCAGUCCAGCUUCAGAGUCGCAACCAUAAGUGGGAUGGGGACAUUUCAGUAAUCAGCCAAGUUAUAAUGGGGAAGAAUUCGAGUAAAAGGCAAAAACAUCAUUGUAAGUUUUUAGCUUGCAUGCUCAAGGAUAAAAGAAUUGAGGUGUCAAAAGAUACUGUCUUAAAUCAGGCUCAAGGUUAAUGAGUGCCUUUGUCAUCUUUAACUAUGUGGGCUCUUGUUUGAACUACUACAUGGCCACUUCGUAUUGAGGAUCAAAAGCCUACAAAACCUAAGGCCCUGGAUCCUCCACCUCUGGUGUGGGAAGGCUCAUCAACUAGAGAAAAUGGGGCCAACAGUCCUUUUAUAAAAGCACUCUUUAAUUCUUUGUCUGAAAAUACCACAUGACUCCUUGGGACUGGCAGAUUUUAGCUAAAAUGACUUCAGAUGCCAGUCAAUGCUAUGGAGAGCAGAAUAUGAUAAGACCUGUAAACAGGCUCUUUGUGGGUGUUCACUGGAAACCACCUGAGAGCCCUCUGGGCCUCAUUCUGGCUGUAAUUCCUGGGCACUAUAAAACAUCUGAAAGAUCCAUGAAAAGAACUCUGAUUUAUUCAGUCUUGCCUAAAAGAAUCAGUAGCUAGCCAGACCAUUACUGACUUUCCCCAGACCAAACAGGAUGUGGUGGUGGGGAGAAAGAAUACGAGCAGUACACAUGGCUGAUAACACAGGCCCUAGGAUAAUUCCCCUAGAUAAAGGUAGGUAAAGUUAACUAAAAAUGGCCCCAGCACAUUAAUUACUAGGUCUCUUGGUGAUCCUGUAAAAUGGACACCCGCUCUCGGGAGUGUUAUUAAAAGUCUCAUUUUCACCAUGUUUUUGUUUCCCAGUCCAUCAUUUGAAAUUUAAGUAAGAUGAGUCAUUUCUCACAAUCUGGGGACACAUCCGGGACUUCUAUACCCAUGAACAGAAAAGGGCUAGCUCAAGAGAAGGUGCGUGCCACCUGAUUUUGGGUGGCCUCUUGGCCUAAGCCCAAGACUAGUCUUUUUUUUUUUUCUUUGGAUGGCAAAAAUGACACAAGGAAAAUAUACAGGCUGGGUUUUGGAAACAAAAUUAAUGUUUCCAUGAUAAUGGGCAGUUCUUGAAUAACGAUGAACCACAUUCCAAGGUUGCCUCCCAGGUCCUGGGGGCACUCUUGUUUUAUA